rnacentral:rRNA from 1 species
AGAGAGAGACAUGCGCGCAUAUCAAUAAGCGGAGGAAAAGAAACUAACAAGGAUUCCCUUAGUAACGGCGAGUGAAGCGGGAAGAGCUCAAAUUUGAAACUCUUCAAGGUUUUACCUUGACGAAUUGUAGUUUAUAGAAGUGUUUUCUGUUAGUGGAGUUUGGUAAAAGUUCUUUGGAAUAGGACAUCAUAGAGGGUGAGAAUCCCGUAUUUGACUCAUUACUUCCUAGCGUUGUGAUACACCUUUCAACGAGUCGGAUUGUUUGGGAAUGCAGUCCAAAAUGGGUGGUAAAUUUCAUCUAAAGCUAAAUAUUGGCGAGAGACCGAUAGCGAACAAGUACCGUGAGGGAAAGAUGAAAAGAACUUUGAAAAGAGAGUUAAACAGUACGUGAAAUUGUCAAAAGGGAAGCGUUUGACACCAGUGUUGUUUUUCCGAAAAUCAAUUACGAAUGUUUUAUUUUUGAGGAGUUAUGACUUCAUCGGCUUGCUCCUUUCUUUACGAAACUUUCUUAAUGCACUUUUCGGUUAACAAGUCAACAUCAAUUUCUUUUGUUGUAAAAGGGUACGAGGAAGGUGGCUUGGCUUUCGGAUAAAGUGUUUAUAGCCUCUUAUCCUCUGCAAUCGGAGAGAUUGAGGUCUGCAGCGUAGAUCCUUCGGGGUUAGAUACAGUUUGUGCUAAGUUAUAGCUUUUCAUAGACAACUUGUUGACUAUGUUUAGUCUUGUAGCUCACUCGCUGAUGCUAUUUUACCUACGCUUAGGAUGUUGAUAGUCACAGCGUGUAC